rnacentral:tRNA from 1 species
AGCAGUGCUAGAGCAUCUCGGUUCGAGUCCGAGUGGCGGCAUGCCAUCUUAUAAAGAGAUACAAUAGAUCCUAUAAUGAA